rnacentral:rRNA from 1 species
UACGUAGGGUGCGAGCGUUAAUCGGAAUACUGGGCGUAAAGCGUGCGCAGGCGGCGCGUUAAGACAGGUGUGAAAGCCCCGAGCUCAACCUGGGAAUUGCAUUCGAGACUGAAUAGCUAGGGUACGGUAGAGGGAAGCGGAAUUUCCGGUGUAGCGGUGAAAUGCGUAGAUAUCGGAAGGAACAUCAGUGGCGAAAGCGGCUUCCUGGACCAGUACCGACGUCAGGCACGAAAGCGUGGGGAGCAAACAGG